GUAGGGAAUAUUGGGCAAUGGAUGCAAGUCUGACCCAGCCAUCCCGCGUGCCGGAAGAAGGCCCUCAGGGUUGUAAACGGCUUUUGACGGUGAAGAAUCGACAGGAUGCGUCCUGUUUUGACGGUAGCCGUUGAAUAAGCACCGGCUAACUCCGUGCCAGCAGCCGCGGUAAUACGGAGGGUGCGAGCGUUGUCCGGAUUUAUUGGGUUUAAAGGGUGCGUAGGCUGGAAGGUCAGUCAGCGGUGAAAAGCUGUCGCUUAACGAUAGUCUUGCCGCAGAUACUUCCUUUCUUGGAUGAGGAGGAGGCCACUGGAACGGAUGGUGUAGCGGUGAAAUGCAUAGAUAUCAUCCAGAACACCGAUUGCGAAGGCAGGUGGCUGUACCUUAAACGACGCUGAUGCACGAAAGCAUGGGGAGCAAACAGGAUUAGAAACCCCUGUAGUCC
rnacentral:rRNA from 1 species